rnacentral:rRNA from 1 species
CAAUUUUAUAUUGAGUGGCGCACGGGUGAGUAAUGCUUAAGAACUUAACUAGUAGUUCAGGAUAAUAGUUUUGUGACUAAAAAUACUGAAUAAUCAAAGAUUUUAUCGCUAUUAGAAAGGCUUAAGUAGGAUUAGGUAGUUGGUGAAGUAAAGGUUUACCAAGCCGAUGAUCCUUAGUUGGUCUGGGAGGAUGAUCAGCCACACUGGAAUUGAAAAAAGGUCCAGACUUAUUUUAAGGCAGCAGUGGGGAAUAUUGGACAAUGGGCGAAAGCUUGAUCCAGCAAUAUCGUGUGAGUGAUGAAGACUGUUUGG